GAUGAAGAACGUAGUGAAAUGCGAUAAGUAAUGUGAAUUGCAGAAUUCAGUGAAUCAUCGAAUCUUUGAACGCACCUUGCACCCUUUGGCAUUCCGAAGGGUAUGCUCGUUUGAGUGUCAUUGUACUCUCACACUCCCACUCUUUUGGAUUGGGAGCGGUGGACUUGGGUGUUGCUGCUUCACUGUGGCUCGCCUCAAAUGGAGUAGUGCAACUCUCGGUUGGACAUAGUACGGCGUGAUAAGUGUCUUCGCCGGCGCCUCACUAGAGGGUGGCCGAUCGGGAGCUCUGUGCUUCAAACCGUCUUCGGACAAUCUCUGACAACUUGACCUCAAAUCGAGUAGGACUACCCGCUGAACUUUAGCAUAUCAAUAAGCGGAGGA
rnacentral:misc_RNA from 1 species